GUUUUCUUUCCUCUUUUCACUCUCGCCCUCUAGGAAAAAAAUUUAUUGAUUCUUGAAGAUUGAGAAGAUUUUAAUCAACUUUCGAAGAGUAAUCUACAAGAUGUCGGGUUCGUACGGUUAUGAAGGUGAUGGAUCUGCUCCCCCGCCCAUGGGCGGUGGAGGUUACGGAGGAUAUGGGGGAGGAAAUAGUGGUGGUGGCAGUGGAUAUGGAAAUUAUGGUGGCAGCGGCGGCGGGGGCUAUGGUGGUAAUAGAGGCGGCGGAAGAGGAGGAGGUGGAGGUGGGGGAUACGGAGGAGGCGGUGGCUGCUACCAAGGAGAUCGUGGGGGACGUGGCGGUUACCAAGGAGAUCGCGGGGGACGUGGUGGUGGUGGCGGUGGCGGUGGCGGCGGCGGCGGCAGAGGUGGUGGGAGUGGCAGGGAAGGCGAUUGGCGAUGCCCUAAUCCAGGGUGUGGGAAUUUGAACUUCGCUCGAAGAACUGAGUGUAACAAAUGUGGUGCAGCGUCUCCUGCUGGUUCUGAUGAUCGUGGGGGUAGAGGUGGUGGUGGUGGAAAUACUCGUGGGGGAAGAGGUGGUAACUAUUAUGAUAGUGGAAGUGGUAGGGGUGGUAAUGAUUUUGAUGGAAGAAAUAGUAGAGGUGGUUCUUAUGGCGGUAGUCAAGGAAGAGAUUAUAGUGGGUAUGGACAGGAUACUCCAGUUGCUCCUGCAUCUUAUAAUGGGGUGGGUAACAACUACCCCCCACCUCCUCGUGCCUAUGGCGGGAGCCCUAAUUAUGCUCCAGACGCAGUUCCUCCGCCUGCAAGCUAUACUGGUGGCCCUGCUUCAUAUCCUCCAUCAUAUGGUGCUCAGGCUAGUUAUGGUGGUGAUGCACAUAGUGAUAGCCGUGGUGGGGGACGAGGUGGCCCACCUGGUGGCUAUGGAGGAGAUUCUCGAAACCCAUCUGGAGGUUAUGGUAGUGCUGAAACAGACGCUCCAGCAGCAGUCAAGCAGUGUGAUGAAAGUUGUGGUGACUCCUGUGACAACGCAAGAAUUUAUGUCUCAAAUUUACCACCAGAUGUGACUACUGAUGAGCUUAGAGAUCUUUUUGGAAGUAUUGGACAAGUAGCAAGAAUCAAGCAAAAGCGAGGAUACAAGGACCAGUGGCCCUGGAGCAUAAAAAUAUACACAGAUGAACACGGAAACAGCAAAGGAGAUGCAGUUUUGUCCUAUGAAGAUCCAUCAGCUGCACAUUCAGCUGGUGGUUUUUUCAAUAUGCAUGAGAUGAGAGGUCACAAAAUUAGUGUCAUAAUGGCUGAGAAGUCAGCUCCAAAGGGUCCUCCUUCAUAUGGUUCUGGGGGAGGCGGUAGAGGUGGCUAUGGAGGUGAUCGACGUAGAGACAACUUCAGAGAAGGUGGUGGUUCUGGACCAAAUAGGAAUUAUCACGGUGGAAAUCGUUCGCGCCCAUACUGAACUUGCAGCAGAGCAUUUUAUGUACUUCUAAUAUUCUGAUGGGAGAGUUUUUUAUUUUAUUGCAUUCACGGAUUUAUUCUCUAAUGGAAACAGAGAGGCAAGUGGAUAUUCUCCAAAUUGCUGCUAAAGGUAGGUUGAAUUGUCAGGUGAGUGUUGCUUAUCUAGAUUGUAAUGCAUUGUUUGUUCUGACUGACUGUGUUUUGUGAUUUUGCUCUCAUGUUUAUUCCCCUUGAUUUGAUGGACCCAAGUAUGAAAGCAUAUCACCGCAGCAUACAGAUUCAGUUUUGGUUAAGAAUUUGUUUAAUCAUUUUCUUACCUUCCUCUCACCUUUAGGUCGUAGUUUUUGUUUACAUGACACGAUGAAUAGCUAGUAGCUGGUUGAUAAGUGGCCGAAGUUAAAGAAGGAAGAGAUUACUUUAGUUUACUCUUUGGGAACUAAAUCUUGAAGAAAAGAGUCUUGGUAGAACUAAAAUCUGGCGAAAGAUAUUUAGGUUGUGCCGUGUGUUCUGAUUGUACUUGUUGGGGGUUCUUUCCACUUGCCAGUCUGAUAAAUUGUCAUUUCCCUUCCUUACUUUAGUUGGCUUGAACAGUAAAUAUUUCAAAAUCUUUCCCUUUGGGUUGUGCUCGAGGUAGAUUUCCAUGUUGAUUACAUACUCACAUUUUUCUGUUUUUUUACUCGUAAAAGUGGUUGGUCUUUUUAAAAAAGAGAGAGGGCUCUUCAGCGUAGUUCUGAGUUAUUGGGUCUCUGAUUGUAGUCGUCUAUGAUAGUUCAAAAGCUGGACAAUGGAUUCUCUUCUGGUAGAAUGUUUGGAAGUAGAGUUGAGUUUGGAGGGCAGCGCAUUGAGCAUCGAAAUAUGGAUUAAAUACUGACCGAUCUUUAAAUCCGACGCUGAACUCUACAAUUUCGCAAAUUAGUGAAACUCAAGUUCUUGUAAUUCUGUAAAUGAUUUAUCAAGGCCAUUUCAACUUGGUGACCAUAUUUAGUAAUAUUGCUUCCAGAUAUAUUUGUUUAUUUUAUUUAACGCCCCCUUUUUGAGGUUA